rnacentral:rRNA from 1 species
GAUGAACGCUGGCGGCGUGCCUAAUACAUGCAAGUCGAGCGAACAGAUGAGGAGCUUGCUCCUCUGCCGUUAGCGGCGGACGGGUGAGUAACACGUGGAUAACCUACCUAUAAGACAGGGAUAACUUCGGGAAACCGGAGCCAAUACCGGAUAAUAUAUUGAACCGCAUGGUUCAAUAGUGCAAGACGGCUUUGUUGUCACUUAUAGAUGGAUCCGCGGCGCAUUAGCUAGUUGGCAAGGUAACGGCUUACCAAGGCAACGAUGCGUAGCCGAACUGAGAGGGUGAUCGGCCACACUGGAACUGAGACACGGUCCAGACUCCUACGGGAGGCAGCAGUAGGGAAUCUUCCGCAAUGGGCGAAAGCCUGACGGAGCAACGCCGCGUGAGUGAUGAAGGUCUUCGGAUCGUAAAACUCUGUUAUUAGGGAAGAACAAAUGUGUGAGUAACUAUGCACGUCUUGACGGUACCUAAUCAGAAAGCCACGGCUAACUACGUG